rnacentral:rRNA from 1 species
CACGUGAGAACCUACCCUUUAGACAGGAAUAGCCCAUGGAAAUGUGGAUUAAUGCCUGAUAGUCUCUACGGAGUAAAUGGUGCCUUCGGGUAUCGCUAGAGGAUGGGCUCGCGGCCUAUCAGCUUGUUGGUGAGGUAAAGGCUCACCAAGGCGACGACGGGUAGCUGGUCUGAGAGGACGAUCAGCAACACUGGAACUGAGACACGGUCCAGACUCCUACGGGAGGCAGCAGUGGGGAAUAUUGCACAAUGGGCGAAAGCCUGAUGCAGCCAUGCCGCGUGUGUGAAGAAGGCUCUAGGG